UACAGAGACUGCAAGCGUUAUUCGGAUUCACUGGGCGUAAAGGGUGCGCAGGCGGUUGGGUGUGUCAGAUGUGAAAUCCCGAGGCUCAACCUCGGAACUGCGUCUGAAACUACUCGACUAGAGUACUGGAGAGGGUAACGGAAUUCACGGUGUAGCAGUGAAAUGCGUAGAUAUCGGGAGGAACACCAGCGGCGAAGGCGGCACUCUGGGCUGGAACUGACGCUGAGGAGCGAAAGCGUGGGUAGCAAACAGG
rnacentral:rRNA from 1 species